CCUACGGGAGGCAGCAGUGGGGAAUAUUGCACAAUGGGGGAAACCCUGAUGCAGCGACGCCGCGUGAGUGAAGAAGGAUUUCGGUAUGUAAAGCUCUAUCAGCAGGGAAGAAAAUGACGGUACCUGACCAAGAAGCCACGGCUAACUCCGUGCCAGCAGCCGCGGUAAUACGUAGGGGGCAAGCGUUAUCCGGAAUUACUGGGUGUAAAGGGAGCGUAGACGGUUAAGUAAGUCUGGAGUGAAAGGCCGGGGCCCAACCCCGGGACUGCUCUGGAAACUAUGGAACUUGAGUGCAGGAGAGGUAAGCGGAAUUCCUAGUGUAGCGGUGAAAUGCUUAGAUAUUAGGAGGAACACCAGUUGCGAAGGCGGCUUACUGGACUGUACCUGACGUUGAGGCUCGAAAGCGUGGGGAGCAAACAGGAUUAGAUACCCUUGUAGUC
rnacentral:rRNA from 1 species